GUCGCGACGGACCACGAGCGCGCGCUCAAACGAGAACGAAAAUAAAACGUACAAAACGCGUAAAUUAAUUGAAGCCAUUAAUACCUCCUAUUGUCGAUACCGAAUUCGAACACACGAUUGUAUUACAAUCGGUGCAGUUGUGAAUUUUUUUUCGAAAAUUUUUUCUGUACAUUUCAUUCACAAUUUCUCACCCACGCAAUUUAGUCGAGAAACGUUUUGUCGUCUCAUUACGUCGGUAAAAUUUGAGUAGUUAGGUUCGGUUUGACGCGUGUAAUAAAAUAUUUAAUAGUAUAGUGUCUGUUUUACGUGAUUAAUAGGGUUUGACUGUGGAAGUUUACAUAUUAUAUCGUAAUAUUCAUCUACAGGUGAUCAUAAAUACAUUCAACGGGGAUGUCAUCAGAAAAACGAAAGUUAUUGGAAUUUUUUUUUCAUUUUUAACGUUCGAUAAAUGGCUUCAGAGAUAAUACCAUUAGAACAUAACAAUAUUAAAAAUGAAAUGCGAUUUUCGAGGAAUAAACGUUUUAACGUAUUUCAUAUGCCUCUCUUUUA